rnacentral:misc_RNA from 1 species
GCCUGUUGUACUGUUUCAAACACCUAAAAAGAGGGAGAGAUUUAAAAAUAAUAAAUAUAUGAGACUGAUAGAGAAGGAAAACAGAGUUUUUAUCACAACCGGAGAUGUUUACAAGAGAGGAACUUAAAUAGACAAAAGAUAGAGAGGAUGACAGCAAUUUUUAGUAGCAUGAACAAGAAAUUUAGGCCAAAAGAUCAGAUAAGCAGUCAUACAAGCAUUUUCUUAUCUGGU